GUUAUGUGUCACACAGGUCAGCUGACUGGCUCACUCACAACCAGGAAGUUGAAAUUUUCCUAAGUGUCACAUUCUCCCUCAUGUCAUCCUUACCAUGAUGGCCACAAGGCUGGAUGGAGAACUUGGAGAUCCACAUUGUUGAAGACUUGGAUCGAGAAGAGUCAAAGAAUGUGGACAUUUGUUUUUCUAUUUGGCUUUGGUAGAAGAAAAUGAAGGUUUGGCACAUGUACAACCGACACCAGUCAAUGGCUCACGGAGCAUUUAGUAAAGGUUACAUCUGGAGGAAUCACACUUCUAUUUCAUCUGGGACUUCGUGGGGUCCCACUAUCCUCUAAGCAUUUGCAGAUGGCGUCAUCAUUUGUCACUUGAGCUCUAGAAGUGCUUCAGGAUGUCCUGUUUCAGUACAACUAUUUGUCUCUGGAGCGUGAACGUCCCCAACUUUGUCUUGCUGAGCUCACACCAGAACAGCAUGGCAUGUGCAAAACUACAAGGCUCCAUGCCAUGCUUAAUGGAUCGGAAGGAGAGAGCUGGCAGCCCUACUGUGAAGAGAACCAUCCGUUUCCUCUUGGUAAGCAGUCAGAGAGGUCGCUGA
rnacentral:lncRNA from 1 species